rnacentral:rRNA from 1 species
ACAACUUUCAGCGACGGAUAUCUCGGCUCAGGCACCUAUGAAGGGCGCGGCGAAGCGCGAUAGUCUUUGUGAAUUGCAGAUCUCCGUGAACCAAUGGCCCCCUGAACGCGCAUUGCACUCUUGGGACUUCCUGAGAGUAUGUUUGCUUCAGUGCUUAUU